ACAACCUUGAAAUAAGUAUAAAAUUACCUACCAAGUUACCUACUUUAUCAAUGCUCCUAUAUUGGCCAAUAAAUCAUUAUAAAACUAAGUCAUAACUAAAUGAAAUAUAAAUACGGUAACAAGCACUGGCUGGCUUUAGCCACUUCUUAAAAGUUAGUUCAAAAGCAUCUGGAACAAGUACAGCUCAACAUACCUAUAAACAGCACUGUGGUAAGUUUUCUAGGAACAUUUAAACAUGAACUGGCAGGAAAAAAGUUCCUCUGCCAAAUAACUAACUAUAACAGGUAAAGAUUAUGAUGGUGAUUAAAACUUAUAUUCUUUAAGUCUUAGUGAGAAAAUGCUGCCCAAGAAGUGAGGACACAAACUAAGUUUCUAAAGAUAAUGAACUAA
rnacentral:lncRNA from 1 species